CAUGGCCGUGUGUAAGGGGUUUAUUCCUCCCAUAUUAUUCUUUCCUCCUCUUGUCAUUAUGAUUGGAUGAUAGGUGGGUGCCAGUCAGGAGACUGGCCAUCAACCUGGUACAAAUGACUAGAAGAAGCAACCAGAUCCCCUUUCACUCAGGAAUCUUCCAUUAGUGCAGCAAUGAUAUCAGAAAAGCCUGGCUUUAACAGGGCCCAGAGAGGUCAUUAUGGCUGGCCCUCCUUAUCUCAGGUUUUGCAUCCGUGGUUGGUUGAAUCUGCCAAUGUGGAGCCUCCCGCUGAUACAAAGAGCCAACUACACCAAUUUAUAUAAGGGACUUGGGCACCUGGGAAUUCUGGUAUCUGUCAGGAGGAGAUGAGGUACGAGAGAGUGUAGUCCUGGAACCAACCUCCCAUGUAUACUGGGGAAAGACAGCAUAUCAUUGUAAGGACAAAUACAAAUUUAAAAUGAGAGGCUUAAUUAUUCCUGUUGAAAAUAAGGGAAGGUAUUUCCCUCCCCUGGGAAUAAAAGAAGGGAAAAUCAGAGUGAAAUGCACCAGGAAGAUUGGUGUCUAUCAGGAGAAUUUGCACCUGGUCUCAGGUCAGUGGAAGAGUUGCCUCGAGGAACAAUAUCCUUCCAAGGGAGAGAGGAGAGAGAGGACCUUUGCUGGCAGGUCACCAGGAUUUUUCUCCGGAGGAGAGCUAACAGCAAGACUGCAAACACAGAGCCUCCAGCUCUGAAGGGAGUUCACUGGAUCUCAUGGCUGCAACCUUCUCCAACUUCAAGAAAAAAUGGGAACAUCUACACUGCCAGUGAGAAGGAUCCAGACUCCUAGUGAAAUCUGAAGUCAUGAAAUAUAGCAGUUCAAUUGUUUACACCUCUACCACCAUCUCUCAGAAGUAUAAUCUUGUGAAUGUUCUGUUUCCUGUUUUUGUGCCUUUUCCACUUUGGAGACUCAAUACUAAAUAGGUACUGGU